rnacentral:rRNA from 1 species
AGUCAUAUGCUUGUCUCAAAGAUUAAGCCAUGCAUGUCUCAGUACAAGCCAAAUUAAGGUGAAACCGCGAAAGGCUCAUUAAAUCAGUUAUGGUUCCUUAGAUCGUACCCACAUUUACUUGGAUAACUGUGGUAAUUCUAGAGCUAAUACAUGCCAACAGAACUCCGACCGGAGACGGAAGGAGUGCCUUUAUUAGAUCAAAACCAAUCGGUGGGGCGGCCUCGGUCGUGUCAUCGUACAACAUGGUGAAUCUGAAUAACGUUUGCUGAUCGCACGGUCUCGCACCGGCGACGCAUCUUUCAAAUGUCUGCCUUAUCAACUGUCGAUGGUAGGUUCUGCGCCUACCAUGGUUGUAACGGGUAACGGGGAAUCAGGGUUCGAUUCCGGAGAGGGAGCCUGAGAAACGGCUACCACAUCCAAGGAAGGCAGCAGGCGCGCAAAUUACCCACUCCCGGCACGGGGAGGUAGUGACGAAAAAUAACGAUACGGGACUCAUCCGAGGCCCCGUAAUCGGAAUGAGCACACUUUAAAUCCUUUCACGAGGAUCAAUCGGAGGGCAAGUCAGGUGCCAGCAGCCGCGGUAAUUCCUGCUCCGAUAGCGUAU